AAAAGACUUAGUCCCAACCUUACCGUUAAUUAUUGCUCGACAUAUACAUGCAAGUAUCCGCGCCCCAGUGCAAACGCCCCCAACACCUUAACCAAAAGGCAAAAGGAGCAGGCAUCAGGCACACCAUCAAACCGUAGCCCAAGACGCCUCGCCCAGCCACACCCUCACGGGUACUCAGCAGUAAUCAACAUUAAGCAAUAGGCGCAAGCCUGACUUAGCCAGAGCAACCAUGGACCGGUAAAUCUUGUGCCAGCCACCGCGGUCAUACAAGAGGCCCAAAUUAACCGUACACGGCGUAAAGAGUGGCCCCAGAAUAUCAUUAAUUAAUUAAGAUUAAACCACUAACCCUGGCCGUCAUAAGCCCAAGGUACCCUGAAACCCACCCAAAACGAUCUUAAUCACCUAGAUCCAUCCGACUCCACGAAAGCCAGGGUACAAACUGGGAUUAGAUACCCCACUAUGCCUGGCCCUAAAUCCCGAUGUUCCCAGCACAUAAAACAUCCGCCCGAGAACUACGAGCACAAACGCUUAAAACUCUAAGGACUUGGCGGUGCCCUAAACCCACCUAGAGGAGCCUGUUCUAUAAUCGAUAACCCACGAUACACCCAACCACUUCUUGCCAAAACAGCCUACAUACCGCCGUCACAGCCCACCUCCAUGAGAGCACAACAGCGAGCCCAAUAGCCCGCCGCCCCCCGCUAACAAGACAGGUCAAGGUAUAGCCUACGAAGUGGAAGAAAUGGGCUACAUUUCCUAAGAUAGAAAACCACGAAAAGGGGCCUGAAACCUACCCCUAGAAGGCGGAUUUAGCAGUAAAGAGAGACAAUCAUGCUCUCCUUAAGCCGGUCCUAGGGCACGUACACACCGCCCGUCACCCUCAUCAUAAGCCCCCACAAACCCACUAACUAAUACAACAGCACAGCUAAAGAUGAGGUAAGUCGUAACAAGGUAAGUGUACCGGAAGGUGUACUUAGCAUACU
rnacentral:ncRNA from 1 species